AAAAGUCGUAACAAGGUCUCCGUUGGUGAACCAGCGGAGGGAUCAUUACUGAGUUGAAAAACUCCAACCCCUGUGAACAUAACCUCUGUCGUUGCUUCGGCGGGCACGCCCGCCGGAGGUUCAAAACUCUUAUUUUUUUCAGUAUCUCUGAGCCUAAAAGACAAAUAAUCAAAACUUUCAACAACGGAUCUCUUGGUUCUGGCAUCGAUGAAGAACGCAGCGAAAUGCGAUAAGUAAUGUGAAUUGCAGAAUUCAGUGAAUCAUCGAAUCUUUGAACGCACAUUGCGCCCGCCGGUAUUCCGGCGGGCAUGCCUGUUCGAGCGUCAUUUCAACCCUCAAGCCUCGGCUUGGUGUUGGGGCGCCCGGGCCCUCCGCGGCCCGGGGCCCCCAAGUUCAUCGGCGGGCUCGUCGGUACACUGAGCGCAGUAAAACGCGGUAAAACGCGAACCUCGUUCGGAUCGUCCCGGCGUGCUCCAGCCGCUAAACCCCCAAUUCUUUAAAGGUUGACCUCGGAUCAGGUAGGAAUACCCGCUGAACUUAAGCAUAUCAA
rnacentral:misc_RNA from 1 species